AGAGUUUGAUCCUGGCUCAGAACGAACGCUGGCGGCAGGCCUAACACAUGCAAGUCGAACGCCGUAGCAAUACGGAGUGGCAGACGGGUGAGUAACGCGUGGGAACAUGCCCUUUGGUUCGGAAUAACUCAGGGAAACUUGAGCUAAUACCGGAUACGUCCAAGGAAACUUGGAGAAAGAUUUAUCGCCGAAGGAUUGGCCCGCGUCUGAUUAGCUAGUUGGUGGGGUAAUGGCUCACCAAGGCGACGAUCAGUAGCUGGUCUGAGAGGAUGAUCAGCCACAUUGGGACUGAGACACGGCCCAAACUCCUACGGGAGGCAGCAGUGGGGAAUAUUGGACAAUGGGCGCAAGCCAGAUCCAGCCAUGCCGCGUGAGUGAUGAAGGCCCUAGGGUUGUAAAGCUCUUUUGCCCGGGAAGAUAAUGACGGUACCGGGAGAAUAAGCCCCGGCUAACUUCGUGCCAGCAGCCGCGGUAAU
rnacentral:rRNA from 1 species